UGUAAGCGUAUACCACAGUUGUUGCAGUUAAAACGCUCGUAGUCGGAAAUUGGCCGUUCCGGAUGUGUGCACGUCGUGUGCGCACUUUGCAAGGACGGCUUUUGUGGUCUUGCGUAGGAUGAGGCACUUUUAUUAGUGAACGUCCUCACGCAACCACUUUUUACUGUGAGAAAAUCAGAGUGCUCAAAGCAGGCAUUUGCCGUGAAUGUAUUAGCAUGGAAUAAUAGAAUAGGACUUGGUUCUAUUUUGUUGGUUUGUUGGGACUGAGUAAUGAUUAAGAGGGACAGUUGGGGGCAUUUGUAUUUCGGUGCUAGAGGUGAAAUUCUUAGAUUACCGAAAGACAAACUGCUGCGAAAGCGUCUGCCAAGGAUGUUUUCAUUGA
rnacentral:rRNA from 1 species